GGACUGAGGUACAGGAGGACUGGUGAGGACUGAGGUGCAGGAGGACUGAUGAGGACUGAGGUGCAGUAGAACUGAUGAGGACUGAGGUACAGGAGGACUGAUGAGGACUGAGGUACAGGAGGACUGAUGAGGACUGAGGUGCAGUAGAACUGAUGAGGACUGAGGUACAGUAGGACUGAUGAGGACUGAGGUACAGGAGGACUGAUGAGGACUGAGGUACAGUAGGACUGAUGACUGAGGUACAGUAGGACUGAUGAGGACUGAGGUACAGGAGGACUGAUGAGGACUGAGGUACAGGAGGACUGAUGAGGACUGAGGUACAGUAGGACUGAGGACUGAGGUAGAGUAGGACUGAUGAGGACUGAGGUACAGUAGGACUGAUGAGGACUGAGGUACAGUAGGACUGAUGAGGACUGAGGUACAGUAGGACUGAUGAGGACUGAGGUACAGUAGGACUGAGGUACUGAGGACUGAGGUACAGUAGGACUGAGGUACAGUAGGACUGAUGAGGACUGAGGUACAGGAGGACUGAUGAGGACUGAGGUACAGGAGGACUGAUGAGGACUGAGGUACAGUAGGACUGAGGUACAGUAGGACUGAUGAGGACUGAUGUACAGGAGGACUGAUGAGGACUGAUGUACAGGAGGACUGAUGAGGACUGAGGUACAGUAGGACUGAGGACUGAGGUACAGUAGGACUGAUGAGGAUAUUAAUAUGUGAUGUGU